AGCACAACAUCCUCGCCCUCAGAGCUGCUUAAUAAAUCAACUAUUUCCUUCAUUCCUUCCACUUCUUUGCUGAGGUUCCGUUCCAAUUGACCUCCAGUACCACACUCUAGAGGGCAUUUUCGUGUGCAAGCCUGGACCCCAUGUGCGUCUAUAGACGCGUGUCUAUUGAAUCUUUUGUGAUCUGAUGCUCUCCCGAAUCUCAAAUCCUUCAAGUAAUCCUGGCAAGGAGAGGAAGAAGAAAAUAAGAUGGAUCAAUCAAUCAGAGAACAGGACUAGUAUUCAAACCCAAAUACAACAGGCCACCAAAACCAGG